GGAUCUGUUCUGAAGUUCCUCACCAAGUGAACUGUGUGUUGCUUCUAAUUUUGAAGACUGCUUGUUUCCAGUUAAGAAAAUAGUUGCUUUGGUGAUAUGCUCUAAUUGAGCCAGAUGUAAUGAAGAAAAAAGUAAAAAGUGUUAUCCUCUUUCAACACAAGUCUCUUCUAGUUCCAUGCUUCUCAUGACCUCAAAUUUUUCACAAAUUUUAAGCAUAGGAAGAAAAACAGCAUCUAUAAGAGUGGAAAGAAUGACUGAACCUCUACAAGCUGCAUAUUCUACUGCAUCAGUGUCACAAAUUACACUUUCCAGCUUGUGCAUUGAGUAUUAAAGAAGUGACUUGGUGCAAGAUACAUGAAUGAAAGUUAUUAGAGAAGAUUGAGGAUUUUCAAGAA